rnacentral:tRNA from 1 species
GCGCUCAUAGCUCAGCUGGUAGAGCAGUUGGCUCUUAACCAAACGGUCGGGGGUUCGAAUCCCUCUGGGCGCACCA